UGUUAUUUAUGUAUUUAUUUACUUUUUCAUAGAACCACCAAGUCCAAUACAAUACAUUUUGGCAGGAGUUUUCAUUGGGAUUACAUUGAGUUUAUAGAUUAAGGUAGAGACACUUUUGACUUGAUCUCUGCAGUCCUCAACAUGGUAUGUAACACAAGGUAGGUCCUUAAUAUUUGCAUUUGGUUGGUUCGAAACUAAACGUGUGACCGUCACGAUGACAUCUCUCAGCUUGCUGUCAUGUGGCACCACUGGGUCAUCCUUCCCAUCCCAUGACAGUUCUUAGACUCAAGUUCAGGUUUAGUUAGUCUAUGCUAGCCCCCUGUGUUGUUUACCAUUCCACAGACAAUGCAUUUCUUGGCUACUGGGGAAAAACAUCCUGUAGUGUGAACCAAUCUCCCCCUCUCCCUGCCUAACCCUGGGUCUCAGUUUGCAGAGGCUCUGCCUUGGGCUCAUUCUCACAGAGCAGCAGCAGCCGCAGAUGAAAGUGGGGCAAGGUUCACCUGAGCACAAAGCAGAGCCCGGCCUGGCUAAUAAAUUAUGUAGAGUUUCUAU
rnacentral:sRNA from 1 species